AGAGUUUGAUCCUGGCUCAGGACGAACGCUGGCGGCGUGCUUAACACAUGCAAGUCGAACGAUGAAGCCCUUCGGGGUGGAUUAGUGGCGAACGGGUGAGUAACACGUGGGCAAUCUGCCCUUCACUCUGGGACAAGCCCUGGAAACGGGGUCUAAUACCGGAUACGACUGCGGAAGGCAUCUUCUGCGGUGGAAAGCUCCGGCGGUGAAGGAUGAGCCCGCGGCCUAUCAGCUUGUUGGUGGGGUAAUGGCCUACCAAGGCGACGACGGGUAGCCGGCCUGAGAGGGCGACCGGCCACACUGGGACUGAGACACGGCCCAGACUCCUACGGGAGGCAGCAGUGGGGAAUAUUGCACAAUGGGCGAAAGCCUGAUGCAGCGACGCCGCGUGAGGGAUGACGGCCCUCGGGUUGUAAACCUCUUUCAGCAGGGAAGAAGCGAAAGUGACGGUA
rnacentral:rRNA from 1 species